rnacentral:rRNA from 1 species
AUUGAACGCUGGCGGCAGGCCUAACACAUGCAAGUCGAACGAGUGGCGGACGGGUGAGCAAUGUCUGGGAAACUGCCUGAUGGAGGGGGAUAACUACUGGAAACGGAAGCUAAUACCGCAUACCAUCGGAUUUGCCCAGAUGGGAUUAGCUAGUUGGUGGGGAAAAGGCUAACCAAGGCGACGAUCCCUAGCUGGUCUGAGAGGAUGACCAGCCACACUGAAACUGAGACACGGUCCAGAUUCCUUCGGGAGGCAGCAGUGGGGAGUAUUGCACAAUGGGCGCGAGCCUGAUGCAGCCAUGCCGCGUGUAUGAGGAAGGCCUUCGGGUUUUAAAGUACUUUCAGCGGAGAGGCGUUACCCGCAGAGGAAGCUCCGGCUAACUCCGUGCCAGCAGCCGCGGUAAUAC